AGCGAACGCUGGCGGCAGGCCUAACACAUGCAAGACGAACGAACUCUUCGGAGUUAGUGGCGGACGGGUGAGUAACACGUGGGAACGUGCCUUUUGGUUCGGAAUAACUCAGGGAAACUUGUGCUAAUACCGAAUGUGCCCUUCGGGGGAAAGAUUUAUCGCCAUUAGAGCGGCCCGCGUCUGAUUAGCUAGUUGGUGAGGUAACGGCUCACCAAGGCGACGAUCAGUAGCUGGUCUGAGAGGAUGACCAGCCACACUGGGACUGAGACACGGCCCAGACUCCUACGGGAGGCAGCAGUGGGGAAUCUUGCGCAAUGGGCGAAAGCCUGACGCAGCCAUGCCGCGUGAAUGAUGAAGGUCUUAGGAUUGUAAAAUCCUUUCACCGGGGACGAUAAUGACGGUACCCGGAGAAGAAGCCCCGGCUAACUUCGUG
rnacentral:rRNA from 1 species